rnacentral:misc_RNA from 1 species
AAGAAGAAGAAGAAGAAGAAGGAAUAUCUGACCUGGGCCUCUGCUCCUCGACAUAUCAAUCUUCAUUUUUUUUUUUUAAUUUCCUUCCUCAAUCUUCCUUCUCUUCUCUCUCCUCCAUCCAGGUUUUCCUUUUUGUUCUAAAUUCAUGCAGGCAUGCUGCCCUUUUCUUUGUUUGUUGCCAACACUGAAAUUCUAUGCCACUCCUCAUGCUGCCCUUCUUUUUUGGUUGCCGACACUAGAAGUUCUGUGCGGCCAGUCCUCUAGCUUACUGUUUAUUUUUAUUGGUUUUUUUUAAAUGUUAAAAAUUAAACAUAACCUGUUCUUACUUUAUGUAAUUAAGACUUCUAAAGAUUUUUUUUUUAACAAAAAAAUUCUUGUUGCUGCCUUUAAAUUAAGUAGUAAAUGAAAUUGCAAAACAUUGUUCUGCUAAUUAUGAUUUCGAGAAUUUAUAAAAGAAGAAAUUAACAUGAAAUAAAUGUAUGGUUUGUCUGUUUAAAACUUUCUCACUCCCAUAUUGUUUAAAGAUAUUAAAAAUAAGUCAUUGUUAAAUGCACAUAAUUUGUAAUAAAAUUUUAUCUCAACAGUAAAAUUCUAUAACUAUGAAAGUAGAUAAAUUUAAAUAAUUAUAUUUAUUUUAUCUUAUGUUUUUGAAUUUUAAUAGAUUAUUCACAUUUUUUUUUAUUUUUGCAUCUUGCUUUGCUUAGGCACACACACCUUGCACCUUGCACCUUGCACGGAGUCUCCAGGACCCUUGGCGCCUUGUGUCCCUUGCGCCUUUAUUAUCUAUGACACCAUAGAAAAGGCUCCAUUGCUUUCUCCUAUCACUUCCUAAAAUCCAUGUAAAUUCAAUUUAAGAAAACGACUUUGAAUGAAGCCUUCAUACACAUACAGGGCCUGUUGACUUAAACAAAACAGUUUUCUGUUUUUCAUUUUUCAUUUUCUAAGAAAACUGCAACUUUCAUUUUUCAUAGAAAAUAAGGAAGAACAUGGAAAACACAUUCACUUGUCAACAAUAGAAAAUAGUUUUAUAAUUCAAUUUUUUUAACAAAAAAAAUUAUUCAUAUCUUUCAUAAUU